AGAGUUUGAUCCUGGCUCAGGAUUAACGCUGGCGGCGUGCAUAACACAUGCAAGUCGAACGAUGAAGAUUAGAAGAAUUCUUCGGAAAGAAACUAAUUGGAUUAGUGGCGAACGGGUGAGUAACGCGUGAGUAACCUGCCUUACACAAGGGGAUAGCCGUUGGAAACGACGAAUAAAACCCUAUGACGUAAAUAAAUCGCAUGAUAUAUUUACCAAAGUGCUUAGUGGUGUAAGAUGGACUUGCGUCUGAUUAGCUAGUUGGUGAGAUAAAAGCUCACCAAGGCAACGAUCAGUAGCCGGCUUGAGAGAGUGUACGGCCACAUUGGGACUGAGACACGGCCCAAACUCCUACGGGAGGCAGCAGUGGGGAAUUUUGCACAAUGGGGGAAACCCUGAUGCAGCGACGCCGCGUGAUUUAAGAAGGCCUUCGGGUUGAAAGAAUCUUUUGUAUAGGAAGAAAAUGACAGUACUAUACGAAUAAGGUCCGGCUAAUUACGUGCCAGCAGCCGCGGUAAUACGUAAGGACCGAGCGUUGUCCGGAAUCAUUGGGCGUAAAGGGUACGUAGGCGGCUCGUUAAGUUAGAAGUGAAAGGCUAUAGCUCAACUAUAGUAAGCUUUUAAAACUGGCGGGCUUGAGAGAUUGAGGGGAAAGUGGAAUUCCUAGUGUAGCGGUGAAAUGCGCAGAUAUUAGGAGGAAUACCAGUGGCGAAGGCGACUUUCUGGCAAUUUUCUGACGCUGAGGUACGAAAGCGUGGGUAGCAAACAGGAUUAGAUACCCUGGUAGUCCACGCCGUAAACGAUGAGUGUUAGGUGCCUGAAUUAUUGGGUGCCGCAGCAAACGCAUUAAACACUCCGCCUGGGGAGUACGCACGCAAGUGUGAAACUCAAAGGAAUUGACGGGGACCCGCACAAGCAGCGGAGCAUGUGGUUUAAUUCGAAGCAACGCGAAGAACCUUACCAAGUCUUGACAUAUUACGGAGGGGUCUAGAGAUAGAUCCUAAUGACUUCGGUCAACUGUAAUACAGGUGGUGCAUGGUUGUCGUCAGCUCGUGUCGUGAGAUGUUGGGUUAAGUCCCAUAACGAGCGCAACCCCUAUCGUUAGUUACCAUCAUUAAGUUGGGGACUCUAGCGAUACUGCCGGUGAUAAACCGGAGGAAGGUGGGGACGACGUCAAAUCAUCAUGCCCUUUAUGACUUGGGCUACACACGUGCUACAAUGGCAGGUACAGAGGGAUGCGAGACUGUGAAGUCAAGCGAAACUCAAAAAGCCUGUCUCAGUUCGGAUUGUACUCUGCAACUCGAGUACAUGAAGUUGGAGUUGCUAGUAAUCGUGGAUCAGCAUGCCACGGUGAAUGCGUUCCCGGGUCUUGUACACACCGCCCGUCACACCAUGGGAGUUGGCAAUACCCGAAGCCUGUGAGCUAACCUUUUAGGAAGCAGCAGUCGAAGGUAGGGUCAGUAACUGGGGUGAAGUCGUAACAAGGUAGCCGUAUCGGAAGGUGCGGCUG
rnacentral:rRNA from 1 species